UAUUUUAAUAGCUUAUUAUUAAAGUAUAAUAUUGAAGAUAUUAAGAAGACUUUGGUCUUAAAAUGUU
rnacentral:tRNA from 1 species